UCACACCGGUUUAAACUCAGAUCAUGUAAAAUUUUAAAGGUCGAACAGACCUAAUUUAUUAGCUCCUACACCAACAAUUAAUUUUAAUCCAACAUCGAGGUCGCAAUCUAUUUAUUCGAUAAGAACUCUGAAAAUAAUUACGCUGUUAUCCCUAAGGUAAUUUACUCUUUUAAUCUUCAACAAAGGAUCAUAAAACUACUUAUUAGUAUAAAAAUAAAAAAAAGUUUCUCCAGUUUUCUCAUCACCCCAACAAAAUAAGUAAAAUAUACUUUAAAACAAAAAUCCCUCAAACCAAAAUACACUUCACCUAUAAAACUCUAUAGGGUCUUCUCGUCUUCUACAAAAAUUUAAGCUUUUUUACUUAAAAAUAAAAUUUUAACUAAUUUUUUAAGAGACAGCUCCUUUCUCAUCAAACCUUUCAUACAAGCUUCCAAUUAAGAAACUAAUUACUAUGCUACCUUUGCACGGUCAAUAUACCGCGGCCAUUCAAUUAUCAGCGGGCAGGUCAGACUUGAAAUCAUAAUC
rnacentral:rRNA from 1 species